CCUACGGGGGGCAGCAGUGGGGAAUAUUGCGCAAUGGGCGAAAGCCUGACGCAGCGACGCCGCGUGAGGGAUGAAGGUCUUCGGAUCGUAAACCUCUGUCAGCAGGGAAGAACGGUCACGGUGCUAAGCAGCAGUGAAUUGACGGUACCUGCAAAGGAAGCACCGGCUAACUCCGUGCCAGCAGCCGCGGUAAUACGGAGGGUGCGAGCGUUACUCGGAAUUACUGGGCGGACAGCUCUCGUAGGCGGUAUGUCAAGUCAAGGGUGAAAUCCCCGCGCUCAACGUGGGAACUGCCUUUGAAACUGGCAACCUGGAGUGUGUGAGAGGAUAGUGCAAUUCCAGGUGUCGGCG
rnacentral:rRNA from 1 species